rnacentral:rRNA from 1 species
GAUGAACGCUGGCGGCGUGCCUAAUACAUGCAAGUCGAGCGAACAGAUGAGAAGCUUGCUCCUCUGACGUUAGCGGCGGACGGGUGAGUAACACGUGGAUAACCUACCUAUAAGACUGGGAUAACUUCGGGAAACCGGAGCUAAUACCGGAUAAUAUAUUGAACCGCAUGGUUCAAUAGUGAAAGACGGUUUUGCUGUCACUUAUAGAUGGUUCCGCGCCGCAUUAGCUAGUUGGUAAGGUAACGGCUUACCAAGGCAACGAUGCGUAGCCGACCUGAGAGGGGGGUCGGCCACACUGGAACUGGGACACGGUCCAGACGCCUACGGGAGGCAGCAGUAGGGAAUCUUCCGCAAUGGGCGAAAGCCUGACGGAGCAACGCCGCGUGAGUGAUGAAGGUCUUCGGAUCGUAAAACUCUGUUAUUAGGUAAGAACAAAUGUGUAAGGAACUGUGCACGUCGUGACGGUACCUAAUCAGAAAGCCACGGCUAACUACGUG